rnacentral:rRNA from 1 species
UACGGAGGGUGCGAGCGUUAUCCGGAUUCACUGGGUUUAAAGGGUGCGUAGGUGGGUCUGUAAGUCAGUGGUGAAAUCUCCGGGCUUAACCUGGAAACUGCCAUUGAUACUAUAGGUCUUGAAUUUUCUGGAGGUAAGCGGAAUAUGUCAUGUAGCGGUGAAAUGCUUAGAUAUGACAUAGAACACCAAUUGCGAAGGCAGCUUGCUACAGGAAUAUUGACACUGAGGCACGAAAGCUGGGGAUCAAACAGG